CCUACGGGAGGCAGCAGUAGGGAAUCUUCCACAAUGGGCGAAAGCCUGAUGGAGCAACGCCGCGUGAGUGAUGAAGGCCUUCGGGUUGUAAAACUCUGUCAUUCGGGACGAACCGGAGUCUGAGGAAAUGCAGACUCUCUGACGGUACCGGAGGAGGAAGCCCCGGCUAACUACGUGCCAGCAGCCGCGGUAAUACGUAGGGGGGCAAGCGUUGUCCGGAUUCACUGGGCGUAAAGCGCGCGCAGGCGGUGAUGUAAGUCUGAGGUGAAAACCCGAAGCUCAACUUCGGGACUGCCUUGGAUACUGCGUCACUUGAGGAUAGGAGAGGCAAGGGGAAUUCCACGUGUAGCGGUGAAAUGCGUAGAGAUGUGGAGGAACACCUGUGGCGAAGGCGCCUUGCUGGCCUAUUUCUGACGCUGAGGCGCGAAAGCGUGGGGAGCAAACAGGAUUAGAUACCCUGGUAGUCCACGCUGUAAACGAUGAGUGCUAGGUGUAGGUGGGCUCAUACCCAUCUGUGCCGAAGCUAACGCAUUAAGCACUCCGCCCUGGGGAGUACGGUCGCGAAGCUGAAACUCAAAUGAAUUGACGG
rnacentral:rRNA from 1 species